rnacentral:rRNA from 1 species
AGCAGCCGCGGUAAUUCCAGCUCCAAUAGCGUAUAUUAAAGUUGUUGCAGUUAAAAAGCUCGUAGUUGAAUUUCGGGGUCAGUAGGUUGGUCAUGCCUUUGGUAUGUACUGGUCUCACUGAUUCCUCCCUCUUGAAGAACUGUAAUGUCAUUAAUUUGGUGUUGCGGGGAAUCAGGACUGUUACUUUGAAAAAAUUAGGGUGUUUAAAGCAGGCUUACGCUUGAAUACACUAGCAUGGAAUAAUGAAAUAGGGCGUUUGAUCCUAUUUUGUUGGUUUCUAGGAUUGACGUAAUGAUUAAUAGGGAUAGUUGGGGGCAUUAGUAUUCAAUUGUCAGAGGUGAAAUUCUUGGAUUUAUUGAAGACUAACUACUGCGAAAGCAUUUGCCAAGGAUGUUUUCAUUAAUCAAGAACGAAAGUUAGGGGAUCGAAGACGAUCAGAUACCGUCGUAGUCUUAACCAUAAACUAUGCCGACUAGGGAUCGGAUGAUGUUAAUUUUUUAAUGACUCAUUCGGCGCCUUA